CAUGUCUUUAUGAUUUUUUUUUAAAGUCUGUUCUGCUCAAUGAUAUUAAUUAAAUAGCUGCAGUAUCUUAACUGUACAAAGGUAGCAUAAUAAUUUGUUUCUUAAUUGGGGGCUUGUAUGAAGGAUUUGCCAAGAAAUAAGCUGUCUUAUUUUAAUUUUAUUGAAAUUAACUUUUAAGUUCAAAGGCUUAAAUAAAAUUUUUAGACGAGAAGACCCUAUAGAACUUUAUAUAAAGCUUUAUUUUAAUUAUUUAUAAUUUGUUAUUAGAAUUUGAUUUUGUAUUUAAUUGGGGUGAUUUAAAAAUUAAACAAACUUUUUAUUCUAAAAAUUAUUUAUUUAUAAAUAAAAAUUCUAAAAUUUUUAAGAAAAAUAUAAGUUACCUUAGGGAUAACAGCGCAAUAUUAAUUUAAAGUUCUUAUUUAAAUUAUUGAUUGCGACCUCGAUGUUGGAUUAAAA
rnacentral:rRNA from 1 species